rnacentral:rRNA from 1 species
AGUAAAUAGAUACCCGGGUAGUCCUAGCCGUAAACGAUACUCGCUAGGUGUCGGCCACGGUGCGACCGUUGUCGGUGCCGUAGGGAAAGCCGUGAAGCGAGCCACCUGGGAAGUACGGCCGCAAGGCUGAAACUUAAAGGAAUUGGCGGGGGAGCACCACAACGGGUGGAGCUUGCGGUUUAAUUGGAUUCAACGCCGGAAAUCUUACCGGGACCGACAGCAACAUGAAGGCCAGGCUGAAGACUUUGCCGGAUUAGCUGAGAGGUGGUGCAUGGCCGUCGUCAGUUCGUACUGUGAAAGCAUCCUGUUAAGUCAGGCAACGAGCGAGACCCACGCCCACAGUUGCCAGCGUACUCUCCGGAGUGACGGGUACACUGUGGGGACCGCCGCUGCUAAAGCGGAGGAAGGAAUGGGCAACGGUGGGUCAGUAUGCCCCGAAUAUCCCGGGCUACACGCGAGCUACAAUGGUUGGUACAAUGGGUAUCUACCCCGAAAGGGGAUGGAAAUCUCCUAAAGCCAAUCUUAGUUCGGAUUGAGGGGCUGCAACUCGCCCUC